rnacentral:rRNA from 1 species
GACGAACGCUGGCGGCGUGCUUAACACAUGCAAGUCGAACGGAAAGGCGCGGCGUUUGUGGGGUGCUCGAGUGGCGAACGGGUGAGUAACACGUGAGUAACCUGCCCUUGACUUUGGGAGAACUUCAGGAAACUGGGGCUAAUACCGGAGAUGAGCUCCUGCUGCGUGGUGGGGGUUGGAAAGUUUCGGCGGUUGGGGAUGGACUCGAGGCUUAUCAGCUGGUUGGGGGGGUAGUGGCUUACCAGGGCUUUGACGGGUAGCCGGCGUGAGAGGGUGACCGGCCACCUUGGGCCUGAGAUACGGCCCAGUCUCCUACGGGACGCAGUAGUGGGGAAUAUUGCACAAUGGGCGGACGCCUGAUGCAGCAACGCCGCGUGCGGGAUGCCGGCCUUCGGGUUGUAAACCGCUUUCGCCUGUGACGAAGAGUGAGUGACGGUAAUGGGUCAAGAAGCCCCGGCUAACUACGUG